rnacentral:rRNA from 1 species
UACAGAGGGGGCAAGCGUUAUUCGGAAUUAUUGGGCGUAAAGGGCGCGUAGGCGGCUUGGCAAGUGGAAGGUGAAAUCCCUCGGCUCAACUGAGGAACUGCCUUCCAGACUGCUUUGCUUGAGUCCGGGAGAGGUGAGUGGAAUUCCUGGUGUAGCGGUGAAAUGCGCAGAUAUCAGGAGGAACACCAAUGGCGAAGGCAGCUCGCUGGAACGGUACUGACGCUGAGGCGCGAAAGCGUGGGGAGCAAACAGG